rnacentral:rRNA from 1 species
GAUUAAGGGCGCGCGGUGGAUGCCUAGGCUCUCGGAGGCGAAGAAGGACGCGAUAAGCCGCGAUAGUCCACGGCGAGGUGCAAGUAACCCUUGACCCGUGGGUUUCCGAAUGGGGCAACCCGGCCGUCUAGAUGACGGUCAUGCAUUAUCAUGCAGGCGAACGCGGGGAACUGAAACAUCUCAUUACCCGCAGGAGAAGAAAACAAAAUGUGAUUCCCCCAGUAGUGGCGAGCGAACGGGGAAGAGCCCAAACCGGUAGCGUUUCGGCGAUACCGGGGUCAUGGGACCACGCCAUUCGAAACAAGAUGAAGUGCAAUUACCUGGAAAGGUAAGCCGCGGAGGGUGAUAGCCCCGUGCACGUCAAUUCUUGUGGAGAUAGUGGAAUCCCGAGUAGGGCGGGACACGAGAAAUCCUGCCUGAAUUCGCCAGGACCCCCUGGCAAGGCUAAAUACUCCCGAGAGACCGAUAGUGAACCAGUACCGCGAGGGAAAGGUGAAAAGUACCCCGAGCAGGGGGGUGAAAUAGACCCUGAACCCGCGCGCCUACAAGCGGUCGGAGCCACGCGAUGUGGUGACGGCGUGCCUUUUGCAUAAUGAGCCUACGAGUUAGUCGUCACCAGCGAGGUUAAGGGCUUCAGGCCCGUCAGCCGAAGUGAAAGCGAGCCUUAACAGGGCGUCAAGUUGGUGGCGCUAGACGCGAAACCUUGUGAUCUACCCACGAGCAGGUUGAAGUCGCGGUAACACGUGAUGGAGGACCGAACCGGUAAACGUUGAAAAGUUUUCGGAUGACUCGCGGGUAGGGGUGAAAGGCCAAUCAAACUGGGAAAUAGCUCGUACUCUCCGAAAUGCAUUUCGGUGCAGCCUGUGAUGUUCUGUUCCAGAGGUAGAGCUACUGGUUGGACGCGAGGGCUUCACCGCCUAUCAAAUCCGGAUAAACUCCGAAUGCUGGAACACGAAAUCAUGGAGUGAGCCCGCGGGUGCUAAGGUCCGCGGACGAGAGGGAAAGAACCCGGACCACCGGCUAAGGUCCCGGAUGGACAGUUAAGUUGAUCAAACGAGGUGGGAUCGCUGAGACAGCUAGGAUGUUGGCUUGGAAGCAGCCAUUCAUUUAAAGAGUGCGUAACAGCUCACUAGUCGAGCGAUCCCGCGUGGAUAAUACACGGGCAUUAAACUGUCAACCGAAGCCGUGGGGUCAGCGAAAAGCUGACCGGUAGGAGAGCAUUCCUGCCAGCGUUGAAGGUCACCCGCGAGAGUGACUGGAGCGGCAUGAAAAGCAAAUGUAGGCAUAAGUAACGAUAAUGGGGGCGAGAACCCCCCACGCCGCAAGACCAAGGCUUCCCCGGCAAUGUCAAUCAGCCGGGGGUCAGCCGGCCUCUAAGGCUAACCCGAAGGGGGAUGCCGACGAGAAACGGGUUAACAUUCCCGUGCUUCUCGUCACCGUGACGCGGUGACGGGGUGAUGAAUGGACCGCGCGCUGACGGAAUAGCGCGUUGAAGGCCGUACCCUUCGAGGGUGGUAGUCAAGCACGCCACCCGAGGCGACAGCCGAUAGUACCACGAGACUCCGGUCGAGUGGAUAGCGUCCAGGCAAUUUACCCCCGAGAAAACCCGCUAAACUUCAAGUGACGAGGAACCGUACUGUAAACGGACACACGUGGUCGGGUAGAACAUACCAAGGCGCUCGAGUGAUUCAUGGUCAAGGAACUAGGCAAAAUAGUCCUGUAACUUCGGGAAAAAGGACGCUCUAGUGAUAGAGCCGCAGAGUAAUGGCCCAGGCGACUGUUUACCAAAAACACAUGGCUAUGCCAAAUCGAAAGAUGACGUAUAUGGCCUGACACCUGCCCGGUGCCGGAAGGUUAAGAGGAGAGCUCAUCGGAAACGAGAAGGUUUGAAUUGAAGCCCCGGUAAACGGCGGCCGUAACUAUAACGGUCCUAAGGUAGCGAAAUUCCUUGUCGGGU